GAUAAGCGCUGGCGGCGUGCCUUAUGCAUGCAAGUCGUACGUGAGACCGGCUUCGGCCGGUUGAAAGUGGCGAACGGGCGAGUAACACGUAGGAACCUGCCCGGAAGUGGGGGAUAACUCCGCGAAAGCGGGGCUAAUACCGCAUGUGGUCGCAAGACCAAAGCUUCGGCGCUGCCGGAGGGGCCUGCGGCGGAUUAGCUAGUUGGUGGGGGAACGGCCUACCAAGGCGACGACCCGUAGCUGGUCUGAGAGGAUGGUCAGCCACACUGGAACUGAGACACGGUCCAGACUCCUACGGGAGGCAGCAGCAAGGAAUUUUGCGCAAUGGGCGAAAGCCUGACGCAGCAACGCCGCGUGGGGGAAGAAGGCCUUCGGGUUGUAAACCCCUUUUGCGAGGGAAGAAGAUCUGACGGUACCUCGCGAAUAAGCCACGGCUAACUACGUGCCAGCAGCCGCCGUAA
rnacentral:rRNA from 1 species